CCCCUAGAUGUUCUGGGCCGCACGCGCGCUACACUGAACAGUUCAACAAGUCUUAACCUUGGCCGAUAGGUCUGGGUAAUCUUUGAACGCUGUUCGUGAUUGGGAUAGACCUUUGCAAUUAUGGGUCUUCAACGAGGAAUUCCUAGUAAACGCAAGUCAUCAGCUUGCAUUGAUUACGUCCCUGCCCUUUGUACACACCGCCCGUCGCACCUACCGAUUGAAUGUUCCGGUGAGCCCUUUGGAUUUUCUCUAUUUGGAUUUAUUUCUGGUUGGAGAAGAGAAGUUGAGCAAACCUUAACAUUUAGAGGAAGGUGAAGUCGUAACA
rnacentral:rRNA from 1 species